AUUGAACGCUGGCGGCAGGCUUAACACAUGCAAGUCGAGCGGGGGGAGGUAGCUUGCUACCGGACCUAGCGGCGGACGGGUGAGUAAUGCUUAGGAAUCUGCCUAUUAGGGGGGGACAACAUCUCGAAAGGGAUGCUAAUACCGCAGACGUCCUACGGGAGAAAGCAGGGGGUCACUUGUGACCUUGCGAUAAUAGAUGAGCCUCAGUCGGAUUAGCUAGUUGGUGGGGUAAAGGCCUACCAAGGCGACGAUCCGUAGCGGGUCUGAGAGGAUGAGCCGCCAAACUGGGACUGGGACACGGCCCAGACUCCUACGGGAGGCAGCAGUGGGGAAUAUUGGACAAUGGGGGGAACCCUGAUCCAGCCAUGCCGCGUGUGUGAAGAAGGCCUUAUGGUUGUAAAGCACUUUAAGCGAGGAGGAGGCUCUUUUGGUUAAUACCCAAGAUGAGUGGACGUUACUCGCAGAAUAAGCACCGGCUAACUCUGUGCCAGCCGCCGCCGUAA
rnacentral:rRNA from 1 species